rnacentral:tRNA from 1 species
UCCCUAGUGGCUAAGUUGGUAAAGAAUCUGUCUGCAAUGCAGGAGACCCAGGUUCAAUCCCUGAGUCAGGAA